AGCUUUGCGCAGUGGCAGUAUCGUAGCCAAUGAGGUUUAUCCGAGGCGCAAUUAUUGCUAAUUGUAAGAUGCUUGUCGUAGAUCUACUUAUAAACCUUUAUAUGCAUUGUUGUGUAUUUGUUUUCCUCUCAGAGCCGUAUCUUGGGCAAUUUGAGAGG
rnacentral:snRNA from 1 species